rnacentral:rRNA from 1 species
AUGCACGCUGGCGGCGUGCCUAAUCCAUGCAAGUCGAGCGAACAGACGAGGAGCUUGCUCCUCUGACGUUAGCGGCGGACGGGUGAGUAACACGUGGAUAACCUACCUAUAAGACUGGGAUAACUUCGGGAAACCGGAGCUAAUACCGGAUAAUAUAUUGAACCGCAUGGUUCAAUAGUGAAAGACGGUUUUGCUGUCACUUAUAGAUGGAUCCGCGCCGCAUUAGCUAGUUGGUAAGGUAACGGCUUACCAAGGCAACGAUGCGUAGCCGACCUGAGAGGGUGAUCGGCCACACUGGAACUGAGACACGGUCCAGACUCCUACGGGAGGCAGCAGUAGGGAAUCUUCCGCAAUGGGCGAAAGCCUGACGGAGCAACGCCGCGUGAGUGAUGAAGGUCUUCGGAUCGUAAAACUCUGUUAUUAGGGAAGAACAAAUGUGUAAGUAACUAUGCACGUCUUGACGGUACCUAAUCAGAAAGCCACGGCUAACUACGU